CUCCGAUCCUGCUUCUCAGGAGACUCAGUUUUUCUCCCAGGCCAGCCCCGUUAGCCGAGACUCCACCAACUGCCUCGCCUUUAAAACUUUUCUUUCGCUUACUGAUUAUUUGCUCUACAGAAAAACGAACACGGGCCUGCGCCUUUAAGAAGGGAGAUAUAAAACUGUUACCAGAAGAAGACUUCGGAUCUGACUCUGCUGAGAACCUCAGAAAGGACCAGGAGCUAACCGAGCACCAGUAGUCCCGUGUAGUGUCAUUGCCUCCUGGGAGCUGCAGGCUCUGCUUCUCACUGUGACCGAGUCUGCCAGGAAUAUGUCAGCCUCCAGAACAGGGUGGCCAUGGUGCAGGGCUGAGCCCAUGUCUCAUCAACCCAAACAGAGGAAGUGCUGUCCCAGCUGGGCCCAGACCAAAGGCCUGACCUGUGUUCCUCUCUCUCCCCUUCUCUCUCUUUGAUUUUUUUUGGUGUUUGUCUUUUUCUCUCUUUAAAAAUAUUUGGGACUUCCCAGUGUUUAAAAUUCCACACUUCCAAGGCAGGGAGUGUUGGUUUGAUUCCUGAUUGGGGAACCAAGAUCCCAUAUAGCUCAAAGUGCCAUGAAAAAAAAAAAAAAAGAAAGUUUGAGUGUACUGUUGUAAGCCCUGGGAUAUAGCAGGGAACAAGCCAUUUGGGGUCCCUGCUAAUACUUCUAAUACAGGAGACACACACAAACAAGUAAAUAAGACAACUGCAGACCUGGAGGACAUCUGCAAUUUAGUGAAAGCACUGAAACACGUCAUGUGAUGGAGAGGCCCUGAGUUAGCCUAGAAAAAGGGAGAAGUAGGGGUCAGGGAACAUCAAUGGAGAUUAACCCAUGGUGAAGGCCAAGGGAGAGCAGGGCAGGCUGGGUUGAAGGGGAGUGCUCAGAUGACGGCUCAGAUGUCAUAGUAACUUACACUGAAAGAACAACUAUGAUGGUUACAAACAUAGGCUCCAGACCAGACCUGGGUCCAGUUUCUGGUUUCACCCCCUCCCAACUACAGAGCCCCAGGAAAGUUGCUUAACCUCUCUGAGUCUUUCUCCUUUCAUCGUAAGAUGAGACUGAUAACUGUACCUCCCUCACAAGGCUG
ensembl:lncRNA